rnacentral:misc_RNA from 1 species
AGCGAAGUUAUUAACCUAGGAAACACGGGUGAUAUCCAGGACGCCCGGGUAGACGCCCCAGCACGGGUCGGCCUUAGCACUUGAGGGUGCAAUACCGAUCAAAUGCCUGCGGGAGCCUUCAGCCGCUUUAAUUGGAGGUCCCGGAUCUGCAGGCAACAGGAUCCCUCCAGUGACAGGCUGGCCUCGGCGAAAAGGCCAGACUUCUCCUCCAUGGGGAC